rnacentral:rRNA from 1 species
UACGUAGGGGGCAAGCGUUGUCCGGAUUUACUGGGCGUAAAGAGCGUGUAGGCGGCCCGACAGGUCCGUUGUGAAAACUCGAGGCUCAACCUCGAGACGUCGAUGGAAACCGUCGGGCUAGAGUCCGGAAGAGGAGAGUGGAAUUCCUGGUGUAGCGGUGAAAUGCGCAGAUAUCAGGAGGAACACCCGUGGCGAAAGCGGCUCUCUGGGACGGUACUGACGCUGAGACGCGACAGCGUGGGGAGCAAACAGG